rnacentral:rRNA from 1 species
UACGUAGGGGGCAAGCGUUGUCCGGAAUCACUGGGCGUAAAGCGUGCGUAGGCGGUUUGUUAAGUCUGAAGUGAAAGGCCAUGGCUCAACCAUGGGAAUGCUUUGGAAACUGGCAGACUUGAGUACUGGAGAGGCAAGGGGAAUUCCACGUGUAGCGGUGAAAUGCGUAGAGAUGUGGAGGAAUACCAGUGGCGAAGGCGCCUUGCUGGACAGUGACUGACGCUGAGGCACGAAAGCGUGGGGAGCAAAC